rnacentral:lncRNA from 1 species
UAGAGAGUACUAGUUAUUGAUGUUGAGGGGGUAUAUGUGAUGACCCCGAUUGUUGUUGAUUCAGUCUCGAUUGAUCGGACGGUAGCUGAGAAGAGUGGGACCCAAUCUAAGAGCCCUCGCGCUGAUAUGGAUGAACCGGCGCCUUGAGAACCUAGUUAUGACCUUUAUCCUUACUCUAUUUAUUUUUGUAGCUCUGCGAACAAUGCAACGAUUUUUAGUUGGAGGUGGGGGUUAUUUUAAAAAAUCUAGGAGCAGCUAAAACGUAUAAGUAUCUAAGACUGAAACUCUGUUUUGACUUGCAGGUUUGAUGCAGGCAGCUGAGAUAGGGAGAAAAUCAGUGUGCAUAUGGUAGUGGAUUAAUUUUGAUUAUGAUUUUUGAGGAUUUUGAAAAAUUUUAUUUGUAAUGAAAGAUUUUGUUUUGAUUUUUAAUUUGUGAUUUUUGAAGCACU